rnacentral:rRNA from 1 species
ACUCCUACGGGAGGCAGCAGUGAGGAAUCUUCCACAAUGGGCGAAAGCCUGAUGGAGCGACACCGCGUGAAGGAUGAAGCCUUUGUUGGUGUAAACUUCUUUUCUCUUGGAAGAUAAUGACGGUACAAGAGGAAUAAGGGGCGGCAAACUUCGUGCCAGCAGCCGCGGUAAUACGAGGGCCCCAAGCGUUAUCCGGAAUUACUGGGCGUAAAGCGUCUGUAGGUGGUUUUUUAAGUUUCGUAUGAAACUCCAGGGCUCAACCCUGGAUUGUGCGAAAAACUGGGGAACUUGAGUGUGGGAGAGGCAAGCAGAACGGUAUGAGUAGGGGUGCAAUCCGUUGAUACAUACCAGAAUACCAAAAGCGAAGGCAGCUUGCUGGAACACUACUGACACUGAGAGACGAAAGCGUGGGGAGCGAAAGGGAUUAGAUACCCCUGUAGUCCACGCCCUAAACGAUGGAUGCUAGGUGUUGGACGUAAGUUCAGUGCUCAAGCUAACGCAUUAAGCAUCCCGCCUGAGGAGUACGGCCGCAAGGUUAAAACUCAAAUGAAUAGACGGGGACCCGCACAAGCAGUGGAUCAUGUGGUUUAAUUCGACAAUAAACGAGGAACCUCACCUAGGCUUGACAUUGAUAGAAUCCACCAGAAAUGGAGGAGUGCCCGCAAGGGAGCUUGAAAACAGGCGCUGCAUGGUUGUCGUCAGCUCGUGCCUUGAGGUGUUCGGUUAAGUCCGUUAACGAGCGCAACCCACGUCGUUAGUUACUAUGUCUAACGAGACUGCUUGAGUUAAUCAAGAGGAAGGUGUGGAUGACGUCAAAUCAGCAUGGCCCUUAUGCCUAGGGCUACACACAUGAUACAAUGGUCGGUACAAACAGUCGCAAUACAGCAAUGUGGAGCCAAUCUGAAAAAGCCGAUCUCAGUCCAGAUUGGGGGCUGCAACUCGCCCCCAUGAAGUUGGAAUUGCUAGUAAUCGUAAAUCAGCUAUGUUACGGUGAAUCUGUUCCCGGGUCUUGUACUCACCGCCCGUCAAACCAUGGGAGGUGUGCGUACCUUAAGCCCUUCGAGCAAUACGGAGGUCCACGGUAAACACACUGACUGGGGUUAAGUCGUAACAAGGUAUCCGUACGUGAACGUGCGGAUG